CUAUCCUAUCCUAUGUUGAUAUUUUUCUUUGAUUUUUUACAACAUUUACCGUACAAUUCUCCGAGACUAUUACUUUAAUUACUAAGCUGAAGCUUGUUUUCUUCAGUUUUUCAUAGACCCACCUGCUCUGCUUGUGGUGAUUAGAGCUGAGACAAAACUGAGCAUCGGAAUCUGAAGCUAGCGGGUUUAAUGUAAGUUCCAAUAAAUAAUUUUAGACAAUAUAGAUUGUAUUUUAGUUGAGUGAUUACUGAAUAAAUAGUUAUAUAAAAUGGUA
rnacentral:lncRNA from 1 species